rnacentral:rRNA from 1 species
GACGUAGGGCGCGAGCGUUGUCCGGAUUUAUUGGGCGUAAAGAGCUCGUAGGCGGCUGUCGACGUCGACUCGUGAAAUCCCGCGGCUCAACUGCUGGGUCUGCAGUCGAUACGGGCAGGCGUAGAGUUCGGUAGGGGAGACUGGAAUUCCUGGAUGUAGCGGUGAAAUGCGCAGAUAUCAGGAGGAACACCGGUGGCGAAGCGGCGUCUGGACGAUGACUGACGUGGAGACGCGAAAGCGUGGGGAGCAAACGG